rnacentral:rRNA from 1 species
ACACUGCAAGUCGAACGGCAGCGCUGGAGCAUCCUGGCGGCGAGUGGCGAACGGGUGAGUAAUACAUCGGAACGUGUCCUGUAGUGGGGGAUAGCCCGGCGAAAGCCGGAUUAAUACCGCAUACGAUCUACGGAUGAAAGCGGGGGAUCGCAAGACCUCGCGCUAUAGGGGCGGCCGAUGGCGGAUUAGCUAGUUGGUGGGGUAAAGGCCCACCAAGGCGACGAUCCGUAGCUGGUCUGAGAGGACGACCAGCCACACUGGGACUGAGACACGGCCCAGACUCCUACGGGAGGCAGCAGUGGGGAAUUUUGGACAAUGGGCGCAAGCCUGAUCCAGCAAUGCCGCGUGUGUGAAGAAGGCCUUCGGGUUGUAAAGCACUUUUGUCCGGAAAGAAAUCCUCUGGGUUAAUACCCCGGGGGGAUGACGGUACCGGAAGAAUAAGCACCGGCUAACUACGUGCCAGCAGCCGCGGUAAUACGUAGGGUGCGAGCGUUAAUCGGAAUUACUGGGCGUAAAGCGUGCGCAGGCGGUGAUGUAAGACCGAUGUGAAAUCCCCGGGCUUAACCUGGGAACUGCAUUGGUGACUGCAUCGCUGGAGUAUGGCAGAGGGGGGUAGAAUUCCACGUGUAGCAGUGAAAUGCGUAGAGAUGUGGAGGAAUACCGAUGGCGAAGGCAGCCCCUGGGCCCAUACUGACGCUCAUGCACG